UACAGUUUGUUUUCAUUUCCUUUCCAAUUUAAAAGAGUGUACUUAAUGUUCCAUCUUAGACAACAUGAUAGUCAUGAAGAUUUUGCGUGAGAAAGGCUAGAGAGUAUAGUGGGAAAAUCUCAGCUCCCCUUUGAACUCCUGGGCUCAAGUGAUCCUCCCACCAUAAUCUUCCAGGUAGCUGGGACCACAGACAGGACUUGCUCCUCCUUGCCUUCAGCCAUGAUUGCGAGGCUUCCCCAGCCACAUGGAACUUAUGCUGAGGUGGCCAAGAGCACAGGUUCAAAUCAAGACCAUGAAUUGAGCCAAGUGCAGUGUGUGCAAAGAGCUUCAAUGUGCCAAGCAUUUUAGAUGCAUUAACUUGAUUCAUCUUCACAAAACCCCUAUGCAUCGUUGAUAUUUUAUUGCCAAUUUCAAGAUUGAAGAACUGAGAAUCAAAGAAUCAGCUCUCUUUUCCAAGGUCACACAGCUAAUAAAGUCAGGAUUUGAACUCAGGCCGGCCUGAUUACAGUGGCACAAUUUGUACUAUUUUGCAAUAUUGAGUGUUUUAGAGUCUUGGGUCAAGUGACCUUUUCCUUUCUAGAGACAAUUAAGUGAAUAAAACAGGAGGUACCUGGACAGGUUUUAUCCAGGGAGCUUUGUCUACAAGAAUUAAAAAUCAAGAAACAAAGCAUGGUAAUAACAAGGGUAAUUAUGGGGACAAAGAG
rnacentral:lncRNA from 10 species